UCCCAUCCUGCCUUGCGCAGGCGUCGCCGAGCUUACGAACUCUGGCUGCGACUCAAACCUAAGGGGUCUAGAGACUUUCUGGAGUUGUGUGUUGAGCAGAAGGACGAACGAGAGUGUGGCAUCCGGGGAGUCUUAGUUCUCUGACCAGGGAUUCAUUCUGUGCCCCCUGCAGUGGAAGUGCGGAGUGUUAACCACUGGAUCUCCAAGAAAAUGCCCCUUCCCCUACUUUUGAUAUGUCAAGUUUCCAGCGGCUCUGCGCAGGCUUUGUGGGGAGGAGUCCGGGAAGAAGAAUGUGAGCGCUGCUGCCAGUAUGAUCCACAGUAUCGGCCCUCAUAUGAUCACGGGUCUUUUUCUCUUCCCCAGAUGGUCAGGGCAGGUGAGCUCAGUGAAAGGAAGUGCUGACACUCCAGAAUAGAGGCUGAGCUGCUGCAGGGGUGACCUACUUCUCCCACUUGUUUCUUUUUAAAGAUCCAGCGGCUGUUGGUGGCUUUGAGGGAAGAGGAGGUAGAGAUGGCUCCACUGGCUUGCUAUAUCCCUUCCCCCAUACUACAACUCCAAGGCGAACAUCACACCUGGGCCAGCUCAGCAUCAUCAAAGGAGGGAGACCUUUUGCCUCAUGUGGGAAAUAAACCAGACAAGCCUUACUGUGUGUUAGCAGGAAGUAAGGAGGAAUGUCACCUGUUUCAAAGUCUAUUUGCUCAGUCUUCAAGCUGGGCAUGAUUCAGCUCAGUCUUUGCACCUGCUGUUGCUCAAGCCUGCAACACUCUUCCAAGGACCAUCCUCAUUGCCUGUCCCACCUCCUUCAGGACUUGCAACAGAUGGUAUGACCAUUCUUGACCAGUUUACAGUUCCCCCUCUCAUCACAGAUCCCCUUUCAUACUCCCCUCCC